AAGGAAUUAGUUUAAACUAAAACAUUAAUUUGUCAAAUUAAAAAUAUUUUAUAAAUAUUUCUUA
rnacentral:tRNA from 1 species